rnacentral:lncRNA from 1 species
CCGGGCGCCGCGCGCAGCCAACGAGCGCACUGGAGGGCGGGCGGCGCGGGCUGUCACAGGAGCCCGACGCGCGCUGCAGGUGGCAACUUGGAGGUACCGCUGCGGGAGGAGCCCGGGUCUGGCCGCCCCUUGCAUCCUCUGGGAGCCCUUUCCUGCGCCCGGGCCGGGAGAAUCCGGAGGAACGAGGCGCCGUGCGGAGACUUCUGAGCGGCGCUGCCUGGCUGCCCUUGCGCUACUUUUAUUUUUUUCUUCUCCGAGGAAGGUUGUGCCUGGGGGCUGGGAACAGGCUCCGGAGGCGCCGGCGAGGCGAGGGAGGUUCCCGAGACUCAGGUGAGUGCCUUCCUCCCGGUGCGCAUCCCCACAGGACGCAGGCCCGGGGCCCCGGGGCGCCCCGUAGGCGGGGCCCAGGCGCGGGUGCCUGUCCUUGGCUCGAGGUCGAGCGAGCAAGGGCGAGGCUGGCCAGGCUGACGUCGAGAGGUCUCCCGGGCGGGCGCCCCGAGGCGAGGGGCUGGCGGAGAGGUGUCUCGAGGCGGCCGAGGGCUGGCGCCCCGGCUGGAGCUGGCCCAUCGCCCUUGUGCGCCAGGCUGGGGCCGCGGCGGGAGCCGGGCGCGGCGAGCCGAGAUCCGCACCGGAGCGAGCCGCGCGCCGGCCCGGGCGAGUGCACGGAUCUGCGGUCCCGCGGAGCCGGGGGCCCUGGAGGACGUCAUCCCCCUCCGCUCCGGCAACUCCUCCUCCGCCCCUCGCCUCCACCCUGCGCGCCCGCCGCUCAGCCUAUUCGGAGACUCCGUGCCGGGGCCAAUGCGCGCAGUGGUGGCUGCUGUCACUGCCUUCCCCGCCCUCGCCGAGUUGGGGCGCCCUGGGGUCCGCUCCUGGCCCCAGCAGCCUAGUUGCGCACAGGGCCGAGUCGGGCCGGCCGGUCCUCUGCUCCCAGGGCCCGGGCCGAGCGCGGACUCGCUCUCCAGUGCUCCCUCGGUUCCAUCCCCGUCUCUGCCCUGAGCGGGAUCUUGGAAACCAGACCUUGCUCGCCCGGGGAGGUCCUAGGAAGGCGCGAGCCUCGGAGACGGGGCAGAACCUCCGCCUGCACCUCGGCAUUUGGGUCCCUGCCUUCCGGUGCUCAGUGGCUCGGCGCGGAAGCAGAUGCGCGGGGGUGAUCCCGUGGGAUCCCCGGAGGCCGCUGCUCGGAGCCCGCUGCUCGGAACCCGCUGCUCUGGCCCCGCCGAGCCGCAGGGCCGCGCCCCCCUCGCCCACUGCGCACCCCGCACCCCGCGCCCCCGCCUCGCCAGUGCCUGCCCCCAGCCGGGCGCGUCCCGGGGUGGGCGUCGCGGGCCUACAGCCGAGCGAGCGAGGCUGAAGUUCAGAACCCGGGAAGGGGGGUCCUCCGGGCUCUCCAGCUCCCUGCGGUCGGCUGUCAGAACCCCGGCUGGAGGUUGGCAGUGACCGGGCCGCGUCCCCGGGAAGCCCACGGGGGAUCCCCGGCUCCCUCUGGCUUGCAGGCCGGGCGCAGGGACUGCGGGCGGUCGGGAGGCGCAGCGGAGUGGUGGGUGCUGGGCGCCCCGGGGCAGCGGCGCCCGGGACCCCGGAGUUGCACUGGAAGUUAGGGCCCCGCGCCCAGCUGCGGCCCGGAAGCGGAGACACGCGGCGCGGUCGGACACGCGCUCCGCUGCCCGCCGGGCUUUCACUUUCCCUCUGCAGAGGGAGCGCGGCGAAAAGCGGGGUGCAGGCGGUGAAAUUCCCCUGGGCGCCGGGGCUGCGUCCAAGGGGGAAAAGGCCAGGGCAUGGUCGCGGCGAGGCGACACCCCGACCCACUCCGCAGGUCUUCGCGGGGCCUUGUGCAGCCCCCUCGGACCCGGGUUGGGACAAGCUCUCGGCCCCGCCCCUGGCCCACGACCCAUGUAAUUUCCUCCAAAGUGCAUCGGGUUAAACCGGGCCCUGGGAGAGCGCUGGCACCCCAGGAACGCAUGGAAGUAGAGACGACUGCAAAUCCCAGAUCUAACUGUGGGUUAAAUCAGGCUGUUUGCACGGGAGCCGACUAAUAUGGUCUGGCAGGGUCUGCGGGGCGGGGUCGGGGGUGGGGCGCUCUCGUGCGUCUCUUGCGGCAAUCCCUGUGGGGCCCUGCAGGAUUUUCCCACCCCAAGCUGAGAAGGUGCAGUCAAUGGGGUGGGAGUGGGGCGCGCGUGUCCACAUGGCGUGGAGCAGCGAAGGAUCCGAGUUCUGGUUGGUUUCGAACUGGCGUGGGUCUCCAGGCCCCAAGAUCAUCCCAGCCACUCUCCUGUGGGGUCAGCCACCUCUUGGACUGUGACCCCGGGAGGCUGUUACUGGUCCCGAAGAGGACUUUCCAACAGGCUUUUUAGCACAGGCUGAACCCCAGGGGAACCUUCUGUGUGCCGGGGAGCAGAGAGCAGUGAGGGCACAGCCAGGACAACUUCACAAAGGAUGGCUCAGUGGCUUGGGCUUCAAGGAGGAAGAGGCCUCCAGGAGGACUGGACGAACAGAAAAGAGGACUGUGUGCCACAUCCAGCGCUCCCUGGCCACGCCAGCACUGGACAGUGAGUCUCAGCCUUCGCUCCCCUGUGCAUCCACAGCAGCCACCCUCCUCUCUGUUUCUUCUUUUCUCCAAGCAAAAGAGCCACAGCUUCUCCUGCUACCCACAACCCCAAACUGCUGGCCAUCACCACGCUCCAGGGUGCGUUGGCAUGCUUUCUCUGGGAAAAAAAAUAAAGAGAAGUCAGAACUAAAACAGGGCAUGGUUUCUGCAGGAUUUUAAGUGAGGACAGGUUGGCUGUGAAUGGUUCAUUAAAAAGACCCGGGGAGUGGGUGAGUCACAGUGUGCUCCUCUUCUCUAUGGAGAAUAAUAAUUUUCACCUCCUGCUCUGUGAGAAUUAAUUUAUGACUUCAGAGUUAUCGGAGACACUUGGAAGGGAAGCGUGAGACCUAGCACAUGGGAGUGCAGGAUUUGCCAGCUCAGAGCUGGUUAACCACGAAUAGCAAAGAACACAAUUGGAAAGAAGAAAUGACUUUCACCGAUAUUGCACAUUUGCACUCAUUUGUGGAAGCUAAAAAAAGUUGAUUUCAUAAAUGUAGAGAGCAGCUGAGUACUCUGGGAAAAUGAGCCAGGAGGGUCGCCAAAGUUUGAGCCCAGCCUGAGCAACUUAGUGGCUUAGCGAGACCCUGUUUGAAAAUAAGAAAAGAUUGGGGUGUAGCUCAGUGUCACAGUCCCGCGUUUAGCCCCACUGUGCCCCCCAGGAAGAAUGCUUAGCAGAGGCUGGGAGGGCCAAGGGGAAAAGAUGCAGAAGGGUUAAUUAAUGAGUGGAAAAGUACAAUUAGAUAGGACAAUUCAAUUCUAGUGUCUCAGCGCCACAAUGAAUCCGUCAGUCAUCACCAAUCAAUACAAUGAAGUUCUGGUGUUCUACAGCACAGGAAGAUGACUGUAGCAUAUUUCAAAGUGGUUAGAAGAGAGGAUUCGGAAUGUUUCGAACCCAAAGGAUGAUUACCGUUUGAGGCAGUAGAUAAUGCUGAUAACUUUGACUGGAUCAUUGUGUGCUGUGUACGUGGGACAGAACACCACACUGGACUCUGUGAACGCACGCAAUUAUUGUAUGGCAAUUUAAAAAUAAAUAAAUGCUUGAAAAUCUGACUUUCCCUAGCAAGCUGCCCGAGACUAGCAAUUUCAGAAGAUAUUGCACCUGAUCUUCACAAUAUAGGUGGAGAAAUACAGGUGCAGCUUAGAAAUAGCUUAGGACUUGUUACUCGACAGGGAGGCAGAGGAAACUGCAGAAGAGAAGUCAAGAUAGCCGCCUCACUUGCUCCGCUGCGCAGAAGCAAAAGGGUGCUUUGUUUCAGUGCUAGCUGAGUGGCGUGGAGGAUUUGGUGUUGUGACCAUGUUAUGGAAAACAGCCAGGCUGCUGGGGAGCCAUUGGGUUCUGGCCUGCUCAGGGUCUCGUGGGCCAGAGCCACUGCAAGGGACAACAGUUCUUGAAAAGAAUUGAAGCCACAAGAGCUGCAGGGACACUGUGUUGGAAUCCUGUGCAGUGAGAGCAUGAGCGGCUAAGUGGGUUAGAAGCAGUGCCAAUGGCAUUGCGUAUAGUGGGGACUAGUAGAAGAGGUUUCUGUCGUAGAGCAGGAGCUGAGACUGGAACUGGAGAGGACAUUCAUGGGCGAAGGGCCGGAGGUAGCGCUUGUUCUGGGAGCAGCAGCAAAAGAGCAGGAGAGCUGCCUUUCUAAUGUGGCAGGAAAGCCAGGUAGUCCGGAACUGACCCCUCGUGCCUGACGUGAGGUCUAAGUCCACAGUCCUCGCCCUGAGAGCAGGGUGAAGCUGCUCACAUGACCAACAACACACACACACGGAGCCCUGGUCUGGCUCUUAGGUUCACACUGCUCCCAGCACCAAGCUACUGGUGUGGACCCGACCUGCACUCUUCAACCUUCUCAGACAUCUUGUCCCGCCCGUCUGCUGCCCUGAGGACAGGCCCCGGCUCUUCCUCAGAACUGCAAACAGAACGUGCCUGAAACCCUCCUCCAGCCUCCCCCCCCCCGCCUCACCUCCUCUUCUCAGGGUUCCAACCCAGACUCGCAGCAUGGAAUGUCGGUGGCCAUGGCCUGGGGGUUCCCGUGGCCACUUCUUUCCUAUCAUGUUGCCAUCUGUCCUACUCCAGACCCUGUCACCUCUGGCGUGGACGGGUACAUUAAUGUCCCAGCUCCCUCUGGCCUCACCUUCUCAGGCUUCUGCCUUCAGUUUAAUCUUUUUGCAGGGCUGCUUUGAUGAUAUCACUCCCGGCCCCAAGCCUCUCACCACCCUUGCUUCCUAAAGGCCGAGGUUUGUGUUCAAGCCCAGAGUUUGCUCUUCCACAUCUGCAGGUUCGUGUUAUCUCCUGCUGCAGCUCUCACCAGUGCCUCUAGCAACCUUCUGCUCUUCCUGCUCCUAUGACAUUUACCAUGCAUGGGGCAGGGGUGUCCUGAGAUUGAGCCCAGAGCCUUGACACCAAGCCCUUUUCUAUUUAUCAUUUUUAUUUGGACACAAGGUCUCCCUCGGUUUCCCAGGCUGGCCUUGAACUUGUGAUCUUCUUGCUCAGCCUCCCGAAGUGCUGGGAUUAUAGGUGUCCACCACCACGCCGGUUCCGUGCAUUUAUUCUUUAGUGUGUCUCACUGAUUGAGAACUAGGACACUAUUUUAUUCAUCCUCAAGUUCUACAGAGUGGCACGCAGGGUGGGGACCCCGUGACAUGUUCCUGAGCAGACGCCUGUCCUCAGAGGGCUGGGGCAGUCCUGAGAGAGAGGGGGAUUUCACAGACUUGGGUGAAACCCUGUAAGGAAGGAGUACCCGGCCCUGGAGCAAGUCCUUACAGGCAGAGCGGAGCACAGGCCACUGGGGAGAAAUUCAAAAGCCACCCUCUCCGGCGGCAUUCAUCUAAUUACAUGGCUAAUUUAGGGCGGGGAGAAUCUGUAAAAUUAUCAGAUUCUUCAUCGCAGAGAUGAGUAUGUAGUCAUGGGAGCUCUGCCAAGAUUGCAAAAGCAGACAGGACGUGGGGAGCCGAACUGACAGGGAUAGAGACUGGCUUGCAAGCCAAGCAGGGUGCCUGGAACGUGCUGGAAACAUCCCGGAAUGUGGAGCAAAUUCCUAGGUUGGGUUUAGGAAUUUGUCUGAUCUAGAAUCACUUUUAGAGUGGUUGACAUUAUGACUCCUUGAUUCAUAGAACAAAAUUAUCCAUGUAUUGAAAUGUUUCUGAUCUAGAUAAAACUCUUAAUUCAGAUUUUUAGAAGGUGAGACUUUUUGGAAUUCCAUACUUUUUGAAAUGAAAAGAUGGGACCUUACCUCAUGUGCGUACUGAAUAUUUGCGGUCAGAUGGAGGAAAAAAUAUUAUAAGAAAAUCACCAGCUUCCACAUUGAAGCAACAACCCAAACAGUCUUAGCCAUACAAGCCUUCAAACUUCAGAUGAACAAUACACCCUCAUCAAAUAGUUGUAAAUAGUUCUUUGCUCGUGAGGAAUGAGCGCAUAAAAAACAACAAUAACAACAGUAAAAUCCACAGUGCAUGAUCAAGUACUGAGGUUUUGAAUAGAAAGGAGUCAGACACUUUAUUACAGAAUUACUGUAUAUAUUCAAGUCUCUUCUUGAGGUCUAAGUUAUCCAAGCUGCUGGAUCCAUGUAUAUACAUUUUGAUGCAUGGUAUUUAUAGUUGAUGUAACUGUAACAAAAGGAUGUUGGCUGUCCACAGUGUGCAAUAUUUGGCUACAUAUGUGUGAGUCACAUGAGAAAGUUGUUCCAUACCCAGCUCCUCGGUGAGCUUACUGAGCCUUUCUCUGAUUACCUGCUUCCUUGGCAAAAGUCACAGAAUUCCCUAUGUCAUUACAAGGUGAAAACAAUGAAAUGAUCUCAUGUUUGUGACGGCCCUUUAGGAGUGGCAGCGUGAGACAUUCACAAUAAUUAAUUACUAGAUCAGCAUUAUACCAUCUUUGUAACCCCUUUGUAAGAGUAUAACAUGGAACACUCUCAAGGACUAUUUGAAUACAAGCAAAUAUUUAACGAGUGGCUCCUAUUUACCUUUAAAUAAAAACAUUCAUUAUUCCCCUUAAUUAUCACAAAAAUUUUGCAGAGCUAAAUAGUGAGAUCAAGGGUUUGUGUGUGGGCAAGGAUCAUUUUGAUAAGCUGGCAAUCUAGACAUCUGAUUCAAGAACCAUUCCUGGCACAGAUUGCUAUAUGACUGCGUUGAGUCCUCCCUGACACAGCUGUUUCUUCGAAUGUUGGGUGCCCUUUGUAGGCUACAUUGUGGGUUAGACAAAUCAUCACGCAAGGAGAGUGUUUCACAUGCAUGGGCUCCUUGACGUGCUGUGGACUUACACCCUGAUACACACAUUGCAAGUUGACAGUACCUUUGCACCCAGCUUACUGGGGCUCAGCAACACAGUGCAUGGCAUGGCGGACUGGGAGCUGCAGCUUGCUGCUCCUGGCCUGCAGCCUGAGAGAGGAGCGUGCUACUUGCCACUAGAAAAAGGUCAAAAUUCCAAAUUCAAAGAAUAGUUCCUUCAGAAUACAUACCACUUCCUCCCCACUGUAAAGUCAAACAUUCUUAUGUCGGGAUCAUCUAUAGUAGCCUGCAGUUCCUAAGCAGCAGAAUUAGCAGGGUGAUACAAUGUAGAAUGAUAUCUAUGACCUUAUUACUUUGUCUAGUACCAAGGGACAUAAUAGUACCCACUGCUAGACAUGCUCAGUACUGUUGCUACUAGUUGAAUAUCUGGGGAUAAAUCACUAAAUGUUCUGAGCUUUAGUUUCUCCUGCAACGCUAGUUGAGGAAUGCCUACCUAGCAAAGUGCUUGUAAGAAAUAGAAAUAAUACUCCUCACAUGACGAGCACAUAGUAGGUGCUCAAAAAAGUAUACCUAUUCCUUUGGUGUCCGAUGAUAAGUAUCAAUAUUUAAUUUAGUUUGAAAAUUCAUAUUUAUCAAAUCAGUCUUUACUUUCACUAUUUGCAUUUCAAGCCUUUUAUCCUGUUUAUGUACUUUGUAACCAUUUUUAGAAAUGAAAUUUACC